CGCUCAAUACAGAGCAACCGGCUUAACGCGUCUUGUUAGCUAUAAAUAUGCAAUAUGCAUUAGUUGGUGUGUGCCUUACCUUUUCUAAAUAGCUUCUAAAUCCUUCGCAAUGUUUUUCAGUAUGUUGUGAAUCUUCUCUUCUCCCGGCGACUAUAUAAUAUAUAUAUAUACUCCCAAAUUCUGCUGGAAAUUCUGACUUUUCUUUUCAACUUCCAAGUUCCAACUGACUGUGCUCAAA